ensembl:lincRNA
UGUAUGAGAAGCUUUAUUAUUCUAACAGAUUUUGUUUACAAGCAGAAAAUAUUGGUAAAUCUCAUAUAACAUAAGGAUGUAUCAAUAGUUCCAUAUGCUAUGCUUUAAUAGAGUUCUGUAAGGUUUCUAAAGAUGACUUAAGUCAGCGUCACUGAAAAUAAAGAGUCAGAAAUAACCUAAAAAUUGAGUGAUUCCAUAGAACAAAUAUAUUCAUUUUACAGAUGGGGAACUGCGACAUGAAGAAGUUAACUUACCUAAGAUCAGAGAAUGAGUCAAGGACAGAACAGGACCAUGUCAUCAAAUUUAGAGAAACUUGAACUAUACACUACUUUGGAGAAAGCUGACCUAAGAUGCAGAAUUAGAGGUGCUCCAAAGGCCCAGAAUAUCCAUUGCCACCUAUUGAUGCAGCACAAGAUCUACAAUGUUCCUGGUGUCAGGAUGCCCAUUAUGGAAGCUUACACUGUUGUGGGAGAAUUAAGUCUUGGCAUAACCCAAGAACAUCUCAAAAUCUUCAAAAAGCACAUGUUUCUUGAGAUAACAAAUGAAACUUGGGAAGGGGAGACAUAUAGGGUUUCUCAAAUGUGUUAUUCCAAAAUCAAGCAAAUCAAUAAAAAAAUUGAGACUAGUGUUCCCAAGAAAACAUAGUGAUAAAUGAUGCCUUUCUGGGCUCUUAGUAGCUCUUUAGCUUGAUCUAUGGGACACUGAAGUUGCUCGGAUGAGGUAGAGCAAGAAUGAGAGAAAAUGGGCCUAUCUGGAAGGUACUUUGGCAAUACAGCAGUUAAGCAAAAUCAGGUUAACUCCACCUGAAAAUUGCCUACUUUUGGGACAGUCACCCACCACCCCUACUUAAUAUGAAAAAGAAAACAGUUUCAUCUUUUUUGCAGCCAAGAAAACUUCCUCAGAGUGUUGAUACAUGAACUGGGAUUUGAGAACCAUCUUCUCAAUUCCCAACAGGCUUCAACAAUGGAAAUACUGUGGCAAUGUCUUCAUUGACACCAGACUACUUUGAGGAACUACAGACCCCCCUCAGUUUUGAACCACAGAGAGCCAUUUACUGGACUGAAAUUGUCAGGGGUUUGGAAUCAGUUUCUCCAUCCAGCAAAUGGGGGUAAUAAUGUGUCUUGUAGGGUAGAUAUUGGGAUUAGGUGGGUUGAUUCAUAAAAAGAAUCUAAUAAUGCUAGACAUAUUGUAGGCACUCGGUAACAAAGGACAUUAUUAGCUGGAACUUCCUCAAGAAGUUGAGACUCCUUACCAUUUUGCAAGAUGGAGCACCAUCUUCUGACCCAACAGAGCAAUACAAUUUGAAGGACCCUGCUGAGAGUGAAGGUCUAGCAUUCAUCUUCAGUAAUUAAUACAUGCCCUAGGGGAUGCUUGUGAUUGGAAAUGGGAGGGCAGAAGACUGUUUUUUACUUUUUGAUUGAGUGCUUUUUUUUUAUCUCAAGCUGUUCUGAAUGUCAUGGAGAGUUAAUGAAGACAUGUUGUACACCCACUGCAAACACAAUAAAAGAGAAAAUGCAACCAAUUCUACCACUGUCUGAGUAGAUUAAAUCCUCAGUUAUACUAGAAGUUCAGGGAAGAAAAUGAGAGCUGUGUUAGGAGAUGGAUGGGGAUAACACUGGUUACAAAGUCAGAAAAAAACGAGGAAGGAUCCUCUUCCAUCUUUUCAAAUUUCUCCACUUUUCCUUCCUUCUUCAACUCCUCCCUCCCUCAACAGCUAAGGACAGAGAGUGGGCACAAAGUGUCUGCAUUGACUUUAGCAUCAGAUAAUAAAAUCAGCAUAAUUUAGUCUUAAUACUGUGUCCAGAGUUAUGAUCUCUAUGUUUUUCUUACCACCAUUUAGUGAAAUUGCAGAAAAUCACCUAAAAAAGAAAAAAAAGCAGUAACAUUCCAUCAGUAGCUUUUGCUUCUCAAAGACUGGCUUCAAAUAACAGAUGUGACGUUCUUCAGGUUAGCCGCUACUCACGACACUUGAGAUAUCCAACUGGGAACAAUCUCCCUGAGUUGGAAUAAAUGAGAUGAUCUAAUACCUGAAGAUUCCCCAACUCCAGCCCGUUUCUUACAUAUACAAUACAUCUGAGAAAUGGCUGAAUGCAUUCUUCCCAAAAGAUUGGGUAGGGCACUUCUUCUUUCAUGAGACAGCAAUUUAGAGGGACCCCAAGGGGGUAGCUGAGGAGGUUAAGAAAGUCUGCAAACUUGUUUGAAAUCUCUAGGGUGAAUUUUCCUG